UAUGUGGAGCGAAAUAAAGUAGCAAAGCGUGUGAGCCAUGUGCCGAGAAAAGCUGCUAUUGUGUAAUGCGUGCCCGUACCGUAAACCGACACAGGUGGAUGAGGAGAGAAUCCUAAGGCCGACGGAAGAAGCAUUGUUAAGGAAUUCGGCAAAAUGACCCCGUAACUUCGGGAGAAGGGGUGCCUGCGAGAGCAGGCCGCAGAGAAUAGGCUCAAGCAACUGUUUAGCAAAAACACAGGUCUAUGCGAAACCGAAAGGUGAAGUAUAUGGGCUGACGCCUGCCCGGUGCUGGAAGGUUAAGAGGAGAGGUUAGCGUAAGCGAAGCUUUGAAUUUAAGCCCCAGUAAACGGCGGCCGUAACAAUAACGGUCCUAAGGUAGCGAAAUUCCUUGUCGGGUAAGUUCCGACCCGCACGAAAGGCGUAAUGAUUUGAGCACUGUCUCGACAAUGCAUCCGGUGAAAUUGAAGUACCAGUGAAGAUGCUGGUUACCCGCGCCAGGACGGAAAGACCCCAUGGAGCUUUACUCCAGUUUGAUACUGGGAUUCGGUACUGCAUGUACAGGAUAGGUGGGAGACGAAGAAGGAUGGACGCCAGUCUGUCCGGAGUCGCUGUUGGGAUACCACCCCUGUAGUACUGGGUUUCUAACCAGUUGCCAUGAACUGGCAAUGGGACAAUGUCAGGCGGGGAGUUUGACUGGGGCGGUCGCCUCCGAAAGGGUAUCGGAGGCGCUCAAAGGUUCCCUCAGAAUGGUUGGAAACCAUUUGAAGAGUGCAAAGGCAGAAGGGAGCUUGACUGCGACACCGACGGGUGGAACAGGUACGAAAGUAGGACUUAGUGAUCCGGUGGUAUAAAGUGGGAUUGCCAUCGCUCAACGGAUAAAAGCUACCCUGGGAUAACAGGCUUAUCACUCCCAAGAGUUCACAUCGACGGAGUGGUUUGGCACCUCGAUGUCGGCUCAUCGCAUCCUGGGGCUGUAGCAGGUCCCAAGGGUUGGGCUGUUCGCCCAUUAAAGCGGUACGCGAGCUGGGUUCAGAACGUCGUGAGACAGUUCGGUCCCUAUCCGGCGCGGGCGGAGGAUAUUUGAGAGGAGCUGUCCUUAGUACGAGAGGACCGGGAUGGACGGACCACUGGUGUAUCUGUUGUCGACCAACGGCAUGGCAGAGUAGCCAAGUCUGGAAGGGAUAAACGCUGAAGGCAUCUAAGCGUGAAGCCCCCCUCAAGAUGAGAUAUCCCUCCUUCGGGAGUAAGACCCCUUGAAGACUACAAGGUAGAUAGGGCAGAGGUGGAAGCAUGGCAACAUGUGGAGCUGACUGUUACUAAUAGGUCGAGGGCUUAAUAAA
rnacentral:rRNA from 1 species